GGUUUCACCAUGUUGGCCAGGCUGGUCUGGAGUGCCCGACCUCAGGUGAUCCGCCAGCCUCGGCCUCCCAAAGUGCUGGAAUAUAGGCUUGAGCCACCGCGCCCUGCCUUUUUUGGAGAGUUUUUAAAGAGAAGCCAUACUAUGAAUGGAUGAAAGGAAGGACAUAUGUCUGCCUGAUUCUCUUUUUUCCACCUGAGUACUAACCAGGCCCCACCCUGCUUAGCUUCCGAGAGCAGGCGAGAUUGGGCUCAUUCAGGGUGGUAUGGCCAGACUCUGAUUCUCUUUCAUUUCCUGUUUCCCAAUGGUCAAGAUUUACUCCAUGGAAAGUUAAGGCCCCUUACACUUCUGGGUGGCAUCAUCUAGCCCCUUCUCAGCUGCUCAGGUGCCGUGCCCCACUAUGUAGCAUUUCAUCUGUGACACUGGGAAUGAGGCGCCAACUGAGAGAAGACAGCAAUUGAGGGAAUCUUGAAAAAGGGCAAGGUUUAUGUCCAAUACAGAGACUGGAGAUGUUUUCACUUUAAUCUUCCUAGACUUGUGGACAGUACCUGCAGUACGUGGAUCAUUCAUGUGAAUGGCUUUCAGAUUACACCAGGUAAUGCUUUCUUUGUCCCAACAGUGUGAUGGUCAUGGGGAAAGCUUCCAGCCCCAUGGGAAGCCAGCAGUGGCAAUAGUUUGGGGAAGGCUGUUCUUUCAGCAUUCCUCAAAUCAGUGAACUUACUCAGUGGAGGGUUGGUUUGGGAUGUGUUCUUGGGUUGAGGGUUUGGCCUCAAUUAAAUUUAAACAAUAGAUUCCUGUAACAUAAAGAGUAAAAUUAUAACAUUAUACAAUGUUAUAUAUAGCUGAAAGGGAUCUUACUCUUCCCAUUCUUUUCUGAAUGAUUUUGUGAAGAGCCUGACAAAAUCUCCUUUUCUUCCUUCUCUCCUUCUUCCUUCUCAUUCUCACAAAGCAGAGAGAUAAAGGCAAGAAGCCUAUCACUCAAACACUGUCCCAUGUCCCAGUAAACACAAACAGAGCUCCCGAAGGAGCUUUCAGAAAAUUGCCCCUGCUGGCGUAUUCCUUGUUUGGGUGCCAGGUGAGGGGAACCCUAUUGUGUGAAUACACAAUGUGCCCAGUCUCUCUCCAUCGAGGUCCAUCACCAUCUUUCUGCUGGUUGGAGAUUAUCACUGGCAACGCCUGCAGAGGAACCUGGGACCAUAUCUGCCCACUCUAGUCCCUCCACGAAAGCCGCAGGAGGAUUGCCCCUUACUGACCACCUGCUGGCAUGCACUGAUGAAACUUCAGGUCACACAGUUGCUGCCACGGAGAUUACAGAGAUCUUUUGGGAAGUGGAUGUGAAGGGCUCCGGAAUGUUCCUGCCUGUGCCAUUCCAGGAAGUGAUGCUUGAAACCACAGCAGCCAUUUUGGGGCCACGAGGCAAUAAGCACAAGGAUAAAAAGCCAAGAACCAAAGAUGGAGAAUCAAGGGUGUAAUGAACCUAGAUGAUAUGAUAUGACAGAGUCCUGAACUGCUAGACUUCUUACUAGGAAAUGUACUCAUGGAAGAAAGCCUACUUAUCGUCCUGCAAAUUGGUAAUUUUUCCGUGGUGACUUCUCUCCUUGAAUCCUGGAGUUCCCACCUGGAAUGUUCCUGGCUGCCUCUCUAGCAGUGAUGUGGCUGUCUGCUGAGGUGGCCUCUGCCUGUGCCAGGGCCAGCAGCAGCUUCCUGAUCCUGGCUUCCUGGUCCCAGUAUGGCAGCCACAGCUGCCUCCUCAUACUUUCAAAGCUGAUGAUAAAAUCACAGAAUCAGGAAUCCAGCUGCCACCACUGCUCUGACACAUUUUCAUGACCUGCUUGUCCACAGAUGUAGCAGCAGGGAGAUAGCUGCUGUCUUACUGCUGUGGUUUAGGUCUUGCCUAAGUGCAUCCAGAACCCUAGAUCCAAGAGAGUCUGGGAAAUGCAGAUUUUAGCUUUCCAGACUGCAGUACAGAAAAGUACAUAGAAAGAGGUGGAGUGAAUGGAGAGUGUCAAUCAACCAUACCCAGCAAAGUUAUACCGUGGGUUACAUGGAUUUUAAUUAGUAAAACAGAAGGAAUCAGUGAAGACUGCUGGGAACACUGAAUGGAGAGGCUUCAGGUUUCUUUAGUAUGGAGUUGAACUCAGGCCCAGUGGAGAUCAUUUCUUAAAAAUGGUAAAUGGAUAACUUUUUCCAACACAUAUGCCUUCUGCAACUAGAGUCAGCAUGCAAUAUACCAACAAAUAAAUCAAGAAUGGGAUUAUCUGUUUUCAAAAUUUGCCUGGGAACAAAAAGUAUUUGUAUCAGAGGCUGAUAUCCCUUGCCCCCUGCCCCAUAGCCAUUCUCUUCUUCUUCCUUUUAAUGACAGAAACCCCCAGAGUUUAAGAUAGACACAUGGCCAUCAAGCUAGCGCAUAGGUUGGAAAACUAUGGCCUGUGGGCUAAAUCCGGCCCACUGCUUUUUUUGUAAACACACUUUUCUUGGAUCACAGUGACACUCAUUUAUUUGUACAUUGUCUAUAGCUGCUUUCACACUACAGUGACAGAGCUGGAUAAUUGUGACAGAGACCACACAGCCUUCAAAGCUGAAAAUAUUGACUCUCUGGCCCUUUACAGAAAAAGUUUGUUGACUCCCGUGCUAAAGACUACAGUGUCUAGCCUCUCUUGCAGCUAUGUGAAAUCAUAUGACUAGCCUUGGUCCAUGGAGAUAUGAGUGAGGGUGAUACCUGUCACUUUUAUGCUUUGGCUUUAAAAUAUUUGAUGUAUAUCUUCUAUCCCUCUUCCUUUUUCCUGUAGGCUUACCACACUUUUAAUAUAAUGUACCAGAUAGUUAAUAUUUUAGACUUUGUGGGCCAUAGAGUCUCUGUCACAACUACUCCAGUCUGUCGUUGGAGCACAAAAGCAGCCAUAGACAACACAUAAACAAGUGAGCAUGGCUGUGUUCCAACAGCACUUCACUUACAAGAGCAGGUGGCACUACAGAUUUGACCUGCAGGCUGUAGUCUGCUGAUUUCUGCUCUUAGAGAUGACUGAGUAACACAAGGAAGGAACUCGAGUUCCUGAAUGAACACAUGGGAAAAAACUGCCCACCAACCUAGACCAUUCCCCCAAGACUUGUUGAUGAGAAAAACAAAUACCUGACUUAUUUAAGCCAUCGUAUGUUUGGGUCUCUCUGUUACCACAGCUUAGCCUUACAUGGUGCAUCUUGGGUUUGUAGAUGAUACCCAAACUUGAGAGAUAUUUUCUUUUUCUUUUUUUCCACUCUGUCCCUCAGGAUGGAGUGCAGUGGCAGGAUCUCAGCUCACUGAAACCUCUGCCUCCCUGGUUCAAGCGAUUCUCGUGCCUCAGCUUCCCAAGUAGCUGGGAUUACAGGCAUGCACCACCACGCCUGGCUAAUUUUCUGCAUUUUUAGUAGAGAUGGAGUUUCGCCAU
rnacentral:lncRNA from 1 species